rnacentral:rRNA from 1 species
AUGCAUGUCUAAGUACAAGCCGAUUUAAGGCGAAACCGCGAAUGGCUCAUUAAAUCAGCUAUGAUUCAUUGGAUCUGUACCCACACUUACUUGGAUAACUGUGGUAAUUCUAGAGCUAAUACAUGCACCACGUCUCUGACCGCAAGGGAAGAGCGCUUUUAUUAGUUCAAAACCGGUCGGACUUCGGUCCGUCACCCCACCGUGUUGAAUCUGAAUAACUUGUCGCUGAGCGCACGGUCUCCGCACCGGCGCCGCCUCUUUCAAGUGUCUGCCUUAUCAGCUUUCGAUUGUAGGUUAUACGCCUACAAUGGCUAUAACGGGUAACGGGGAAUCAGGGUUCGAUUCCGGAGAGGGAGCCUGAGAAACGGCUACCACAUCUAAGGAAGGCAGCAGGCACGCAAAUUACCCACUCCCGGCACGGGGAGGUAGUGACGAAAAAUAACGAUGCGAGACUCAUCCGAGGCCUCGCAAUCGGAAUGAGUACACUUUAAAUCCUUUAACGAGGAUCUAUUGGAGGGCAAGUCUGGUGCCAGCAGCCGCGGUAAUUCCAGCUCCAAUAGCGUAUAUUAAAGUUGUUGCGGUUAAAAAGCUCGUAGUUGGAUUUCAGUUCUGGACUGACGGUUCACCGCCCGGUGCAUACUGUCACGCUCCGAACAGCCACAACAGCCCGCUGGCUCGCAC